UUUAUUUACACAUGCUGUACUGUAUAAAAAUGAAAAAAUAUAACAAUUCAUACAUCAAGAUGUCAAGAAGAGGCGUUCAUAUACAUGCAUAUUUAUAGAUUAUUAUUUUAUAUAUAUAUAUACAUACAAAUAUAUUAAUAGUGUGAUAAAAUUACCACGUCGUUCCCCUCCAAACAUUAUGAAAUGCACUUAAUAAUAAGUGAUACUAAAAGACGUAGAGCACAUUGGUGCAAUAUUAUUCAUUUCAAAUUAUGUCCUUGCUGUCUUCUGUUCUUUGCAUGGAGCAAAAUAAAAUGUAUACAGAAUUGUUCUAAAUACUGAAAAAAUAUAUACAGGUGUAUAGCAGUUGGGGAAAAACAUUAUUUGGCUUAUUCAAAAAUCAAGAAUGUAUUCUUGGAUAUUGCUGAGUGUAACCAAACCCCUGAAAUUCGUUAUCUUAUAUAAUGUGAAUAUUAGGAAUAUGUGAAUCUAUGUGAAUCGAUUCAGAUUCUUGGGGUUGACGAUUCGGUUAAGAAUAGAUUAUUGCAUUGUAGCAUUUAAGCAUGGAGAUGGGCUGAAAAAAAUCCUUUAAAAAAUGGAUUCUUAAAAAAAUAAUAAUAAUGUUUUAAUAGAUUCUUAAAAAUGAUGAAUUGAUUCACAAUCUAAAUAUGAAUUGUAGUUUGGAUGUGAAUCGAUUUUCCAAUACUGUCAACAUUUAAAUGCCAAGCCCCCUUCAGUAUUGAAAAAAAAAAAUUGUGAAUGAAACAUUGAUUUUUAUGUAUUGAAAUCUACUUAGAUGCUCCUAUGAUGCAAGAGAACAUAACAAGAAAGCAACAACAAUCCAAUCUAGUUACAGCACACACAUCGGUAGUGCCAAUCACGCAAAGCAAAAUGGUUCAUAAAACCUACGAGAGCCAAAAACACUGGCUUACAUUUUUUGCAACACCUUCCUCUAAAAAGGAAGUUAGUGUCUUAACAUGUUGAUUUUUCCCCUUGACAGGACAAACGAGUAAUACGAGUUCCAAAACUCCUGUACAGAUUGGCCUUUUGAUUCCAACGGACGUGUCCUGAGAACUUUCACAUGCUCAUUCCAAUCUCUUCCACUUUCCAGCCGGUGGAGUUUUUUCCGAAUUUGUACACAAGCCGCCGUCCAUCCACCCGCUCGAGGAUUUCUCGUUUGUAGUAGUACCUGUGGCCGGGGGAAAUCAGUCAGCUCGUGGGGAAGAUAAACAGGACCAAGCAGCACCUAUUGAUUCCUAUUAAGUCUAGGGUUCUAGUCUUCAUCAUUAAGAUUUGUACCUCUGUCUCUUGACCAAUGUUCUAAUAGUAUUAGUAAAUGCCGAGCAGUUGAUGGAUGGUCUCACCUCAUAGCACGACUGAGUUUCUCAUAGGUCAUGCUGCUGUUCUUCUUCUUCUGGCCCCACAUCUGAGCCACGGCCUCGGACUUCAGGAACUUAAACACGCCUUCGCGGCGAUCUUCCCACUUCAUCAGGCCCUGGUUCUUUUCCGGGUGGAUGAGAAUGUCCCUGAUGAACUCCCAAAGAUGAGUGCUACGAGGCGCUGCGGACAAGAGCCAAGAUAUCGCGUUUAGCCGUGCAAGUCAAAUUCGCUAUCGCUGCACGGUGAAAUAUUUUCUUUUAGCUAUUUCUUACAAUGUUUGUUCUUUUUUGAAGGGUCGUAAAUGUUGCAGCCGUAUUCCCUGUUUGCUUUCGGGGGUCGGCCGCGUGGUCGCUUCACCUCGAUUUUCUCCUUUUUGAUCAGCGACUCUGUCAACGCGCCAGGUGACGAUCAGGUGUUUGCCAAAAUCGACUGACACGAGCAGGAAAAAUCGUUUCCCUACUCACUUGAUAUCAUGGGGUAUGAGAACUCCGGGUCCGAUUCUCCGCUGCCAGACUCCGGUGAGCCCAGGUUGGAAAAGACGAACAGGUUGCCUGAUGAGACAAAAUGAGUCAGUUUGUAUACAUUCUUAAAAAGAUCAAGGAAAGACGAGAUGAUGAAAUACUGACUAUUGGACGAGAAGCUGCACUCGCUGUCGGAUUGAUUGUCAGAGAGGUACUCGUCUCCUAGUGUGGUCAUGGUCCCCAUUGUAAAGUUGAACAGGUCUUGGUUAUCCCCAUAGUCAAAUUCUUGCUUGAUGACACAGUCCUCUCCUGCUGGUGGUAAGAAUUUUAGAGUUAAAACAUCCCAGGUUGUGUUCGGAUGAUGCUAAAAUCCUCUCUAAAAUCCAUACCUUGACCCAUUUUGAUGGUGCUCAGCAGAGGGAAGGUUUGAUUAUCCGAGCUGUUUAAGUUGUGUAGGUACUUAUUCAGGAGCUGGCAGGUCUCGGUCAGCUCAGGUCCUGAAAGGCUCUGCAGUUCUAAGAAAAGAAUAUAUGUACUCAACGUCUGGACUCAUAUAGUUGCACCUGUCAAAAUUGAAUGGAUGUGGAUUUACCAUAUUUGGCUCUGUCUUCUUGCAGAUUUUGGUGGAGUUGGGGACCAAGAUGCGGACCGAAGAAACUGACCAUUUGUUCCAGGUUCAUCUGGCACAAGGUGUGGCCGUCCAUGGCACAGAAAGCAAGACUCAGGGUACUAGCAUCAAACUUGGUGCGUUCCACGUGGUGGCUGAUCCACUCCAUGACGUGGUCUGCUGUCCAAUUGAGGGGGUUCAUCUGACCAAACCACUGAUCUGCAUCAAGAGAGAAUGAGGAUAUUAUCAUUUUUAGCCUACUCAGUGGCUUUGUGGUUAGGGUGUCCGCCCUGAGAUCGGUAGGUUGUGAGUUCAAACCCGGGCCGAGUCAUACCAAAGACUUUAACAAUGGGCAUGCUUGGUGCAUGCACUCAGCAUCAAGGGUUGGAAUUGUGGGUUUAAUCGCCAAAAUUACUCCAGAGCGCGGUCAUCACUGCUGCUCACUUCUCCCCUCACCUCACAGGGGGUGGAACAAGGGGAUGGGUCAAAUGCAGAUGUUAAUUUCACCACACCUAGUGUGUGUGUGUGACUAUCAGUGGUACUUAACUUGAACUUUAUUAUUAUCUCUUAUCUGAUGCCUUUAGUCGUCAUUAUCAUCCUGCUGGGAACCUUUACAUAAUUUUAAGUCCAUGCUUUUCUUCUUUCUCCAAGCUCAGAACAACAAAGACCGGAAUGUUUCAGCGCUGAGGUGGCACCGCUCGAUGCUUAUACUCAGUUAAUCGUUGACCCGCUUGUUAAUGAUUUAUCCACCUGCGUCUAAUUAAGGUCAAAGAAUCAUGAGGUAAUGGUCUUGCUUGAAACUACAAUACGUGAGCCUCGUAAAACCAGCACCCUCUGCAGUUGACAUUUGUUUUUGCUCUGUUUAUUUUGCCAUAACAUUACACUACAGUUGGACACAGGUUCUUAGGAAGAUACAAUAUAGCUUUCAGAUUCCAGGCACAAAACAUGCAUACUAAUAAAGAGUAUUGCAGAUAGUGUUUUUCUGACCGUCAACGUUGGCGUUGUAUCCCUGGUUGCCGUUCUGGGUAUGGAUGCUUGUCAUCAACAUGUCAGGGAUGCCAGUCUGGUACAUGGCGAGGUUGGCGUUUGUCAGCACGGUACUGAGGCACGGCGAGGCCAUUGAAAAGCUGAGGAAUUGAACAGUUAAAUGGUUACAAUUUCAACACGCACGCAUUUCACACACUUUGCUGAAAGGUAUUUAUGGUAGUAUUUCUUUACCUGAUUGGAGCCACAAGACGAAGCAAACAUAUGAGAGGUCAAAGGAGGUAUGACCACGGUGUUUCAAUUGAACACUUUCUUGUCUGCUUCUUUUCCUGCGUGACCUCUGCUAGCCCGCCAAAGAUUCACCUGCUGCUAUAUUAAGUCCGCUGAAAGGUUUAAUACCUGUCGGAGGCAAGGGGGUGGACUCAGGUGACUGCAGGGGAAUUCCAAACGAAGUUGGCCACACCCCCAUUUUCGUUUACGCUUCACAGAUAAACAACUCAAACCUACCCCUUUUUCCUUUCCUGAUAAUCUAAAACCAGUAACUAAGUUACUAUCAUAUUUUCUACCUAAUUAUAUUCAUUAUUUCUAAGUCUUUGGGAGGAGCGCGUGACAUUCUACCUCCUGGUACACACUCUAUAUAGGUAACAAUUUUCAUUCCCAGCAGCUACAACCUGUGAUUUAAUGCAAAAUGUCACAUAUGGCUGGUUGUGUUUAACAACACCACAUUUUAUGUCUCGAUUAGGGAUACAAGCAUUAUUACUGAUUUCUAAAAAAAUCUUCAUUCACACAUGUGAAAAAAACAACAACAACUUGUCUUGCUGAUUAGUGAAUGAGGUCAGACUGUGUGUUGAGUGCAAUAAUGUUGAUCUUGGAACUGCCUCUUAGUUUUUCUAAAUCAAGUUCUCGGUUGGUUUGUGCCAAGUUUGGUUUAGGUGUUAGUUUAGUGCAACUGCUCUCCAACCUCCUUCAACGUGUGCUGCCAAAAGAAAUAUUUGCGUUUGAUGCCUUCGGUUGUGUCAUGCGGAUCUGUGUUUAUUUUAGCACCUAAACCAACCAGAAUUACACUGAGGUAAAUGAUCUUAUCUUCCAUGAGAAUAUAAAACAACAGUAGGUGAUAAAUAAAAUAAACAUUUAAAAAGCUUCAAUUGUAUGUUAGUAAUCCAGUGGUGAUUCGAUUUGGCCCUAUUUCGAUUGCGAAAUAGGGCCAAAGAAAGUUGUGAGUGCCAGCAAAGUACAAAGGUGGAGUCCCCGAGGCUCUCCGUUCUCUUCAUCUUCCCCAACGAGAGUCCUCAAUAAAGCAGCCAGGAGGAGAGACGGGGUUGGAGCUGGAGCCAGAGUGCUAGCGAGAACGAAAGAAAAACAGACAAUUGCUGGAAAGAAACUGAGAGACUUAUUGAAAAAUGAAAAAAAUAUUGUAACCCUCAAACAGGCUCUCAUGUCGGUGCUUGGUGGUCUGAAGAACCCCCAAUAAUAAAUUAAAACACUUCUUA